CUUUGAAACUAUGUUUAGAAAGGGGCUAUACAAAUAAAGAUUAUUAUUAUUAUCAAUAAUUAAAUGUGAUUUUAACAGUACAGCUGGUGUGUUUCUUUAUCCCAAACUCUAAAUGCCCAUUUAUUUUUCUUUAACAACAGAAAAGAGAUUAACAUAUAACUUCUGCCAUCUCUAGCAGUGUUAAACACAGCAGGAACAGUUCUGGUUAACAAACACAGCAUAACAUGAAUUUGAGCCAAAAUGGCGACGCUACUUAACACAGAAUAACAUAUGCGUUCCAAAUCGUAUACUUUUUCUUUUUCCUUCAGUUCGUACUGCAGCUGCCCUUAUAAAUUAGUAGUUGCAUGCAGUAUGCAUACAAUUCAUCAUAACAUUGCACAAACUUUGCCCCUCUUGCUCAUAUAUUCACUGCUCAGAGGAAUGCAACCUGCUGUGCGCUCCAAUACUCAUACUACCAUACUAUUUAGUAUGCCUUUAACGAUUUGGUAUAUCCCAAAACAUAGCAUGUCAAAUGCAGUAUUUUUUACUGGCUAUUCUGACCCACAAUCCUCUGCACAAAAAAAGACUUAUUUAACAGAACAUGAAUAUUAUGAAGAUGUCUGUGAAACCAUCACAAUGACUUUUUAUCAGCAAAGAAAGCAAACAAUGCAAAGCAAUAAGAAACGAGCUGUGCA